rnacentral:hammerhead_ribozyme from 1 species
AUCCAGCUGAUGAGUCCCAAAUUGGACGAAACGUGCAUCAAACUGGAU